ACGAUGAAGAGUUUGAUCCUGGCUCAGGAUGAACGCUGGCGGCGUGCCUAAUACAUGCAAGUCGAACGCAGUCCUUAGGGACUGAGUGGCGAACGGGUGAGUAAAAGAUAAGGAACCUGGCUUCUGAAGGGGGAUAGCGUCUGGAAACGGACGGUAAGACCGCGUAGGCAAUAUGGACGCAUGUCGAUAUUGUUAGAUAUGCUAUGGCAUAGACAGGAGAUGGACUUAUCACGCAUUAGCU
rfam:Clostridiales bacterium CHKCI006 isolate CHKC6 genome assembly, contig: {contig6}